AUAGGGGAGCCGAAGGGAAACCGAGUCUUAACUGGGCGUUAAGUUGCAGGGUAUAGACCCGAAACCCGGUGAUCUAGCCAUGGGCAGGUUGAAGGUUGGGUAACACUAACUGGAGGACCGAACCGACUAAUGUUGAAAAAUUAGCGGAUGACUUGUGGCUGGGGGUGAAAGGCCAAUCAAACCGGGAGAUAGCUGGUUCUCCCCGAAAGCUAUUUAGGUAGCGCCUCGUGAACUCAUCUUCGGGGGUAGAGCACUGUUUCGGCUAGGGGGUCAUCCCGACUUACCAACCCGAUGCAAACUGCGAAUACCGAAGAAUGUUAUCACGGGAGACACACGGCGGGUGCUAACGUCCGUCGUGAAGAGGGAAACAACCCAGACCGCCAGCUAAGGUCCCAAAGUCACAGUUAAGUGGGAAACGAUGUGGGAAGGCUCAGACAGCCAGGAUGUUGGCUUAGAAGCAGCCAUCAUUUAAAGAAAGCGUAAUAGCUCACUGGUCGAGUCGGCCUGCGCGGAAGAUGUAACGGGGCUAAACUGUGCACCGAAGCUGCGGCAGCGACGCUUAUGCGUUGUUGGGUAGGGGAGCGUUCUGUAAGCCUGCGAAGGUGUCCUGUGAGGGAUGCUGGAGGUAUCAGAAGUGCGAAUGCUGACAUAAGUAACGAUAAUGCGGGUGAAAAGCCCGCUCGCCGGAAGACCAAGGGUUCCUGUCCAACGUUAAUCGGGGCAGGGUGAGUCGACCCCUAAGGCGAGGCCGAAAGGCGUAGUCGAUGGGAAACGGGUUAAUAUUCCCGUACUUGGUGUUACUGCGAAGGGGGGACGGAGAAGGCUAUGUUGGCCGGGCGACGGUUGUCCCGGUUUAAGCGUGUAGGCUGGUUUUCCAGGCAAAUCCGGAAAAUCAAGGCUG
rnacentral:rRNA from 1 species